rnacentral:rRNA from 1 species
AUGGAAAAGAAAGAUGCUAAACCUAGACUUACUAGAUGGGUUCUCUUGCUACAAGAAUUUGAUUUGCAUAUUGUUGAUAGAAAGGUAGCUGAGAACCCCGUUGCAGACAACUUGUCUAGGUUAGAAAAUAUUCUUGAUGACCCACUACCUAUUAAUGAUAGCUUUCCUGAUGAACAAUUAAAUGUUAUAAGUACUUCUCGUAGUACUCCAUGGUAUGCUGAUUAUGCUAAUUAUAUUGUUGCUAAGUUUAUACCACCUAGCUUCACAUACCAACAAAAGAAAAAGGUCUUCUAUGAUUUGAGACAUUACUUUUGGGAUGUCCCACAUCUUUAUAAAGAAGGAGUAGAUGGUGUUAUUAGACGUUGUGUACCUGAGCAUGAACAGGAACAGAUCCUACGCAAUUGUCAUUCCGAGGCAUAUGGAGGACACAACGCUGGAGAUAGAACUGCACAUAAGGUAUUGCAAUCUGGUUUUUAUUGGCCUACUCUGUUCAAGGAUGCCCGUAAGUUUGUCUUGUCUUGUGAUGAAUGUCAAAGAAUUGGUAAUAUUAGUAGACGUCAAGAAAUGCCUAUGAAUUAUUCUCUUGUUAUUGAACCAUUUGAUGUUUGGGGCUUUGAUUAUAUGGGACCUUUUCCUGCCUCUAAUGGAUACACACAUAUUCUAGUUGCUGUUGAUUAUGUUACUAAGUGGGUGGAAGCUAUUCCAACUAGUAGUGCUGAUCAUAACACUUCUAUUAAAAUGCUUAAGGAAGUUAUUUUCCCGAGGUUUGGAGUCCCUAGAUAUUUAAUGACUGAUGGUGGUUCACACUUUAUUCAUGGUGCUUUCCGUAAAAUGCUUGCUAAAUAUGAUGUUAAUCAUAGAAUUGCAUCUCCUGAUCACCCACAGUCUAGUGGUCAAGUAGAGUUGAGCAAUAGAGAGCUCAAAUUAAUUUUGCAAAAGACUGUUAAUAGGUCUAGAAAGAAUUGGUCCAAGAAACUUGAUGAUGCAUUAUGGGCUUAUAGAACUGCAUAUAAAAAUCCUAUGGGUAUGUCUCCGUAUAAAAUGGUCUAUGGAAAAGCAUGUCACUUACCUCUCGAACUAGAACAUAAGGCAUAUUGGGCUAUUAAAGAGCUCAACUAUGAUUUUAAACUUUCCGGUGAAAAGAGGUUAUUUGAUAUUAGCUCACUUGAUGAAUGGAGAACCCAAGCUUAUGAAAAUGCCAAGUUGUUUAAAGAAAAAGUUAAAAGAUGGCAUGACAAAAGGAUACAAAAGCGUGAGUUUAAUGUAGGUGAUUAUGUAUUGCUAUAA